rnacentral:misc_RNA from 1 species
AACCUGCAACAGAACGGCCGGCGAGCUAGUGAAAUCCUGACCUUGAGGCGCCCCGCGCGCCUCAAUGCCCGGACGCGCCCGUAAGGGGCGCGAUCUCGGCGCAAAAUAACGAACCCCGGCACGGGCCGUGCCAAGGAAAAUCAAUGAAGACAGAGUCCCUUGCCGCCCCGUCCUGCGGGUGCGUGCUCGGGACGGAGCUUCUUUCACAGAACACGACUCUCGGCAACGGAUAUCUCGGCUCUCGCAUCGAUGAAGAACGUAGCGAAAUGCGAUACUUGGUGUGAAUUGCAGAAUCCCGUGAACCAUCGAGUCUUUGAACGCAAGUUGCGCUUGAAGCCAUUAGGCUGAAGGCACGUCUGCCUGGGCGUCUCGCAACGCGUCGCCCCCAGCCCUCCUUCUCUCUUCGUCGGGCGUCGGAGGAUGAUUUGGGGCAGAUGAUGGCCUCCUGUGCACGAAAGCGCGCAGUUGGCAUAAAAGCAGAGUUCAUGACCAAUGGAUCGUCACGGCACGUGGUGGUUGAAACAACUUCGUCGCGUCCUGCCGUUGGCGCACCCACUGUCGGGAGGAGCUCGGACCCCUGCGCGUCUAUAUAGUCGCGCCGACGGCGAAUCGACAGCGACCCCAAGUCA